rnacentral:piRNA from 2 species
UUCGAUAGCUCAGUUGGUAGAGC